UACGUAUGGUGCAAGCGUUAUCCGGAUUUACUGGGUGUAAAGGGAGCGCAGGCGGCGCGGCAAGUCAGCGGUAAAAUUGAGAGGCUCAACCUCUUCCCGCCGUUGAAACUGGUGGUCUUGAGUGGAUGAGAAGUACGCGGAAUGCGUGGUGUAGCGGUGAAAUGCAUAGAUAUCACGCAGAACUCCGAUUGCGAAGGCAGCGUACCGGCAUCCAACUGACGCUGAGGCACGAAAGCGUGGGGAUCAAACAGG
rnacentral:rRNA from 1 species